GCCGCCCCUCCCCCCCCUCCCAUGCCUCUUCUCUCCGUCCUGUCUCUCAUACUCUCUGCUCAGUGCCACUCUGGGAGCCAGUCGCGGCCUGGCCCACCCCAUCAGCAGCCCGCCCAGCUUCCCGCCUGUCACUGCCACUCCAACUCCAGUAAAAAGUGACGUCCCCCUAGUUCAGGACGCCGCAGGUAACUCGCACACACAUUCUCAGCAGUAUCUGUCACCCCACCCGAUCCUUGAGACUGUGGUCCAGGACCUGACCCUUUUCUGUGGCCAGCUCAGUCAAGGACAGGUGUUUUUGGUGGUAGCUGGGGCCAAACAAAGCUGCAUCCUGAUGGCCAAGCACUCCUGAGACCAGAAAGCCUGGCUCCUAUCCCAAAGACAGCUCCUUGUGACUCCUGCUCAGACCAGAGCAUUGCUGCCAGCCAUUUGCCCCUGCUCAGCAACUGGUCAGCCCAGAGUAGGCAUGCCAGAUUCCAGCUGGCUGCUCAGGGUGGCCUCACCUUGGGCCUGGGCAGAACAGAGCCUGUCCCUGUGGCUCUCAGGUGUUCAGCUUCCCACCCAGAUUCGAGGGUCUUGAUCUGGCCCCACCCCUCCCUUAAAGCUGAGCCAGGGGAAGAAACCUCUGGAGCCUCAGGCCUCGGGCUGUGCUCUGUGAUAGAAGCUCUUCCUGCCCCAACUCCAUAUCUGGAGUCCCACGGGGAGGGUCUGCUGGCCCCUCACCUUGCAGACGGCAUACCACCUUCCAUGCAUUGUCACCUCACAUUGUGCCUGAGCAUGGCUUUGUGCCAGGCCCCGGUGGCUGUGGCAGUAAGUACAUGGGUUCUGCCCAUUGAGAGCUGUCACCCUGUGACUUCAGACCCAAGAACACAUCAUCCCUGGUGGAUUUCCAGGCCUGAGGCUCUCCCAUGGCCCCUGCCUAGUGCCCCCACCCCAUUCCAGCCCUCAGUUUCUCUUCAUCUGCCAAGGGUGGGUGACUGGGCCUGUUCUCCAAAUCCGCAAGGCAGUAAUUUGGUGCACAGAGCGGUGGCCAGGCAUUCUGGCAGACUCAGAAGGGCCAUGGCCCUCGGCCAGCACAGGGAGCAGCCUGGAGGAUGUCCCCCUCUGGUGGGUCUGGGCCUUGGGUCCCUUAUUUCUGGGGAGUGCUGCCUCCCCCCUGUGUAGCCAGUGGGUGCCUUCUGAAAAGGGUGAGGAAGCAAGCCCUUGGCAGUGGGCUCCUAAGUCCUGGGAAGCAUUCUGGGCCAGCCUGGGCACUGAUUGGGUGCCUGUCCUGUAGCUAAGCCCUUGUCUAGAUCUGGCCCAGCGAGGAGACUCUGAGCAGGGGGUUGGUAUCUUUUUGGUAUUUAGUUCCUGAGGCCUGGCCUAGGAGGCCCACUAGGGGCAGAAACCUUAAGACCUUAAAGAGCCUUCUGGAACCAAGGAGAAGGUGCUCCUCAGGGCAGUUACAGCCCCAGAUGGCCUAGGGCACUUGGCAUCCCGGCUGUGGUAGGCAGGUCCCCGUGCAGACAGGCAGGCAGCCCGGGGAACUGGUUUGCCCGCGGCGGGAAAGGAGCCGGCCUGUCCCUCAUUAGAGGCAGGCGUGUGAUGGGCCCUGGCCCCCCUCCAACUUGGGUAAUUACACUCUGCGACCUAGAUUCUCCCUUCAGCUUCAAUUAGCACCAGGACAGGUCCUCACUUCCUACCCAAACUGGUCAGGAAGCAGCCACCACAUCCCGGCAGAGCUGCUUGGUCUGCCACCCAGGGAGGGAUGCACGUGUGGUCGUCUGCAGGUCUGGAUGACAAGGGAAACCUGGGACUCCUUUGCUGUUCUGGGGGUGGGGAGAGGCGCCCUGGCCACCAGACCAGGGUCAGGGCCCUGUGUGAGUGUGACCCUGGCAAAAGAGGCAGCCUUCUGCACUGACUGCCCUGUGCCCCUUCCCCAGGGAAUACCAUCUCCAUGCCCACAGCCUCCGGUGCCAAAAAGCGCUUCUGGAUCAUCGAGGACAUGUCGCCCUUCGGCAAGCGGCGGAAGACGGCCUCCUCGCGCAAGAUGCUGGACGAGGGCAUGAUGCUGGAGGGCUUCCGGCGCUUCGACCUCUAUGAGGACUGCAAGGACACGGCCUGCCAGUUCUCGCUCAAGGUCACCCACUACCACUGCACGCGUGAGAACUGCGGCUACAAGUUCUGCGGGCGCACGCACAUGUACAAGCACGCGCAGCACCACGACCGCGUGGACAACCUGGUGCUGGACGACUUCAAGCGCUUCAAGGCCUCGCUCAGCUGCCACUUCGCCGACUGCCCCUUCUCGGGCACCAGCACGCACUUCCACUGCCUGCGCUGCCGCUUCCGCUGCACCGACAGCACCAAGGUCACGGCGCACCGCAAGCACCACGGCAAGCAGGACGUGAUCAGCGCGGCGGGCUUCUGCCAGUUCAGCUCGAGCGCCGACUGCGCGGUGCCGGACUGCAAGUACAAGCUCAAGUGCUCGCACUUCCACUGCACCUACCCGGGCUGCCGCCACACGGUCGUGGGCAUGUCGCAGAUGGACUCGCACAAGCGCAAGCACGAGAAGCAGGAGCGCGGCGAGCCGCCCGCCGCCUCGCCCGGCGCGCCCGUCAGCCUGGACGGCUCGCUCACGCUGGCCGCCGAGCC
rnacentral:lncRNA from 1 species